UGAUUCUUAAGUGCAGGUUGCGUCUGCUGCUUGUACACAGUCUCUGGUUCCUGGUUGCUGUGAGCUUGUAAGGGGCCCAUUUCAACCUGGUUUGUUCAAAGGGACCCAUGGAUGAGACCUCAAAUGGAGUCCUGGACAAUAGCAGUUAGCCUAGGUAUUCCAGGUAUCUCUGGUGGUGCCUGGGAAAUGGAAGUACUGUAGCUUAGUCUCCAAACUGGAUGGCAGUAAGGAGCAAAGAAACCCGUGGGACAACAUGGUCCACUACCAUUGCAGCAUAUCAGUGUGUCAGCAUAAAGUAGGAUUUACUAGAAGAGCUGGAACUAGAUUUGAGAGAGAACAGAAUGAGCUUUUCCAGCAGCCUCUUCUCUUUCCUCAGAGGCACUGAAAGUGCACCAUGGACCCACCAUGAAGUUUCCUCAACUACAAAGUCUGUGAGAUCACUGUGUGCUUGAGUCUCAUCAUCUGCAUCACUGCACAGAUUUUUGUGUCUGCCAUACUUG
rnacentral:lncRNA from 1 species